UACACUUUUAUAAUUACAAUAUAUUCUUAUUACCAUUUCUUCAUGCAGAACCCACUACUCAGCAAUUGUAUGUGGUCUAAAAGGCAGCUGUGUAGUUGCCGAUGGUCAGUUCCAGUUCAGAGGAAUCACGUCCGUCUUGCAGGAACUUCAUUGGUUGCCAAAAGCAACUUUAACCUGGUACAUCCAUCCGUCUGCAAGACAGUGUUGGCUGGCGGUGCCCAGGGAAGGGCCUACUCUGUAGCGGCUCCUGCCUUGUGGAACCAACUCCCCAUGGGGCUCCAUUUGGCUCUGGAUCUCCACUCUUUCUGC
rnacentral:lncRNA from 1 species